rnacentral:tmRNA from 1 species
GGGGGCGACUUGGCUUCGACGCUGGUUACAAACCCUGAGGUGCAUGCCGAGAGUGUAGUGGCUCUCGUACUCCAAUCGCUACAAAAAAUAGUCGCAAACGACGAAAACUACGCUCUAGCAGCCUAAACCCUGCUAGCGUCCCGACCAAGAUGCUUGUAUCGCGGCUCAGGAUGUCACUUAGAACAAGCUAGCCCUGCGGUAGGCCUCAUGCCGUAAUGCGAAACUUUUAGAGGCUCGCCUUGAACACCCUGCCCCUCGGGUCGUGAAAGGUUAACACAAUUGAGGGAUUCUAAGCAUGUAGAGCCGAAGGCAGAGGACUGACGGACGCGGGUUCAACUCCCGCCGCCUCCACCA